CAGUAGCCGCGGGAAUACAGAGGGUGCGAGCGUUAAUCGGAUUUACUGGGCGUAAAGCGUGCGUAGGCGGCUUUUUAAGUCGGAUGUGAAAUCCCUAAGCUUAACUUAGGAAUUGCAUUCGAUACUGGGAAGCUAGAGUAUGGGAGAGGAUGGUAGAAUUCCAGGUGUAGCGGUGAAAUGCGUAGAGAUCUGGAGGAAUACCGAUGGCGAAGGCAGCCAUCUGGCCUAAUACUGACGCUGAGGUACGAAAGCAUGGGGAGCAAACAGGAUUAGAUACCCCCGUAGUCCCUGUCUCUUAUAC
rnacentral:rRNA from 1 species